CUGGAGUUAAAUUUUUAGAAAGUCCGCCAUUACACAACUCUGCCGAGCAGCACAUGAGAACUGGAGUUAUGUUCUUCUUUGUGAGAAGUGGUAGGCCUACUUGAUCAGAUGGAGAAACCUGCUGUUCACAUUUCAAAUAGGCUAACUUACACAACGAGGCCACGAUGCUGAUAAAAGUGCAAUUUGGAGGCAAGAAAAAAUAUAUUAAACUGGAAGAAGAUUGUUUCUUGGAUUUUUUCAGUGCGGUCCAGCACAAGUUUGUGAUACCAGAGGAUACAGCAUCGAAAGUCACAGAUGACCAUGGCAUAGAGGUGGAUGAGGAUGUAUUUCAAGAACUUGCAACAACCAAAGAAACAUGUCAUCCAUACUAAUGAUGAUUUGACUGUCCUGCAGCAAGGGGCUGUUAAAGUGCCCUCCUCCCCAAGUAUGACAGAUACAUUGUCUGUGUCAAGCAGUUUGAGCAGCAGUGAUUCUGGAUCUCAAAUUAUUCAACCUUUAAUGGGCAGUGUCCAAAAAAAUAAAAUCGAGCAAAUUCUAACUUCAAAGCCAGCAGAGUUGACUGUGAUUGAGGAGUAUGACAAGAUAUUUUUUUACUGCUUUUGAUUCCUGUGAAGUUAAUUUUAUAUAAUGUAAUGUGUUGAUUGUCUCAUGCAAUUUUACUAAGUCAUUGGUUUUAGUUGGCACUAGCUGCUAACAUAUAUUAAUUGUAAAUGUUUUGCUGUUAGAUUUAAUGCUUUGAUGACAAUUAAUUUCAAAGUGUGUACAUCGAUGGAAAUUCUAAAUCUAAUGUGUGGAUUUGCAUGAAUAAAAGCAGUAAGUAAA
ensembl:processed_transcript